CUAGUGGUUAGAGUGUAGAGGCGGCAGGUAGCCUAGUGGUUAGAGUGUAGAGGUGGCAGGUAGCCUAGUGGUUAGAGUGUAGAGGUGGCAGGUAGCCUAGUGGUUAGAGUGUAGAGGUGGCAGGUAGCCUAGUGGUUAGAGUGUAGAGGUGGCAGGUAGCCUAGUGGUUAGAGUGUAGAGGCGGCAGGUAGCCUAGUGGUUAGAGUGUAGAGGUGGCAGGUAGCCUAGUGGUUAGAGUGUAGAGGUGGCAGGUAGCCUAGUGGUUAGAGUGUAGAGGCGGCAGGUAGCCUAGUGGUUAGAGUGUAGAGGCGGCAGGUAGCCUAGUGGUUAGAGUGUAGAGGCGGCAGGUAGCCUAGUGGUUAGAGUGUAGAGGUGGCAGGUAGCCUAGUGGUUAGAGUGUAGAGGUGGCAGGUAGCCUAGUGUUUAGAGUGUAGAGGUGGCAGGUAGCCUAGUGUUUAGAGUGUAGAGGUGGCAGGUAGCCUAGUGGUUAGAGUGUAGAGGUGGCAGGUAGCCUAGUGGUUAGAGUGUAGAGGCGGCAGGUAGCCUAGUGGUUAGAGUGUAGAGGCGGCAGGUAGCCUAGUGGUUAGAGUGUAGAGGCGGCAGGUAGCCUAGUGGUUAGAGUGUAGAGGCGGCAGGUAGCCUAGUGGUUAGAGUGUAGAGGCGGCAGGUAGCCUAGUGGUUAGAGUGUAGAGGCGGCAGGUAGCCUAGUGGUUAGAGUGUAGAGGCGGCAGGUAGCCUAGUGGUUAGAGUGUAGAGGCGGCAGGUAGCCUAGUGGUUAGAGUGUAGAGGUGGCAGGUAGCCUAGUGGUUAGAGUGUAGA